rnacentral:rRNA from 1 species
AACGGACAGGUAAUGAAACCUAGUGAUUUAUCUGUUAGUGGCGGACGGGUGAGUAACGCGUGGGUAACCUGCCGUAUACAGGGGGAUAACACUUAGAAAUAGGUGCUAAAACCGCAUAAGCGCACAGGAUCGCAUGGUCCGGUGUGAAAAACUCCGGUGGUAUACGAUGGACCCGCGUCUGAUUAGCUUGUUGGCGGGGUAGCGGCCCACCAAGGCGACGAUCAGUAGCCGGCCUGAGAGGGUGAACGGCCACAUUGGGACUGAGACACGGCCCAAACUCCUACGGGAGGCAGCAGUGGGGAAUAUUGCACAAUGGGGGAAACCCUGAUGCAGCGACGCCGCGUGAGUGAAGAAGUAUUUCGGUAUGUAAAGCUCUAUCAGCAGGAAAGAAAAUGACGGUACCUGACUAAGAAGCCCCGGCUAACUACGUGCCAGCAGCCGCGGUAAUACGUAGGGGGCAAGCGUUAUCCGGAUUUACUGGGUGUAAAGGGAGCGUAGACGGUGAAGCAAGUCUGAAGUGAAAGGCGGGGGCUCAACCCCCGGACUGCUUUGGAAACUGUUUGACUGGAGUGCAGGAGAGGUAAGUGGAAUUCCUAGUGUAGCGGUGAAAUGCGUAGAUAUUAGGAGGAACACCAGUGGCGAAGGCGGCUUACUGGACUGUAACUGACGUUGAGGCUCGAAAGCGUGGGGAGCAAACAGGA